rnacentral:lncRNA from 1 species
UUGACAGGUGGCUCAAAUCUUUGAACUACUGAAGAUUAUCUAUUUUUGCACACAUACGUGACUCAAACUUCCUAACUCAUGCCAUGGGAAGACAUGCCUUGCUUCCCCCUCACCUUCUGCUGUGAUUGUAAGUUUCCUGAGGCCUCCCCAGCCA